rnacentral:lncRNA from 1 species
GCUUUGUUGGCAUAUUUCAUUAGAUGACAAUUGGUAUCUUUGUGAUUUAAAGUAAAGACUAAAAUUUCAAAAUUUCAAAAUUAUAAAGAUUAAAAUAGUUAAACUAAAACACGUGGAUUAAAUCUAUAACCUACUCAUAGUACAUAGACUGAUAGUAAAUUUGACCAAAAUCUAAAACACUAUUUAUGGUUAAAAAAAAAAGAAAAGAAAAGAAUACAUUCACGACAUACCAUAAAAUGCCAAGCCAAAAC